UACGGAAGGCAGCAGGGGGGAAUAUUGCACAAUGGGCGCAAGCCUGAUGCAGCCAUGCCGCGUGUAUGAAAAAGGCCUUCGGGUUGUAAAGUACUUUCAGUCGUGAGGAAGGUGUUAAGGUUAAUAACCUUAGCAAUUGACGUUAGCGACAGAAGAAGCACCGGCUAACUCCGUGCCAGCAGCCGCGGUAAUACGGAGGGUGCGAGCGUUAAUCGGAAUUACUGGGCGUAAAGGGCACGCAGGCGGUUAAUUAAGUUGGAUGUGAAAUCCCCGGGCUUAACCUGGGAAUGGCAUUCAAGACUGGUUAGCUAGAGUCUUGUAGAGGGGGUAGAAUUCCAUGUGUAGCGGUGAAAUGCGUAGAGAUGUGGAGGAAUACCGGUGGCGAAGGCGGCCCCUGGACAAAGACUGACGCUCAUGUGCGAAAGCGUGGGGAGCGAAACAGGGAUUAGAUACC
rnacentral:rRNA from 1 species